AUGUAAAUGUUGAGUACUGUGAUAUUGUUGAAAUGUACUAUAUUCUUUAGAAGAUAUUAUUUUUGUUAUUUCAUUCACAUACGCAGAUAAAGUAUAACGGUGCAGAUGUCUUAAAUUUAAAAGAUUAGGGUGUACAUUUUUCCAAAAAUUUCAAUCAUUAGUGUAUUUUAGGGCUUAUGUGCCAUAAAUGUAUUGUAUAAAAUAGAAAUUUCUGUGUCUGUUUGAGAUUCGUAUAAUGUUUCUUUUUUCACUGGGUAUAAGAUUGUAUAGACAAUCUCUAAAUGGUUUUAAUGUUGUUUGUAGUUCAAGAAAUUGUAUUCAACUUUCUCGUUGUGGGUUGCUUUUGUGCUUUGUGCAAAAAAAUAUGUUUUCUUAUGAAAUUGAAAUCCAUUUCAAUUUUGACUUUAGUUUUGUUUAGGGAUAUAUUCAACCAAUAUGAAUGCAUAAUUAAUCAGUCAGCUUUUGGAAUUCAUGUAUAGGUAAACAAUUUGAAUGCCCCACCCUCUGUUUAAAAAAUAUCAGUAUACGCUAGCAGUCAUGUACUGAACUAUUUUGAAAGUACAGUUUUGGUGUGGUGCUAAUGUGAUAAAAAGACAUUGUGUAGAACUACCUGGUAAAGUGAUUCUUUUAUCUCCCAGACCAGCUACUGGUUGUUUUGAUGUUUGUUCAUAUUAAAAUGCUUAUUUAUACUAAAAAAUAUUCAAGUUUCUCCUUAACCCGGCAGUUCAGAUUUGUGUAUUGAGGUUUUAAAGAUGACAACUGGAAACAUGUUGAGUGGAUCUCAGUACUUUUAGUACAUGAACCACUGUAACUGUACUUUUAUUUGAUAUUGCUAAUAGCUACUGAAGUUGUAUAAGUAAAGAUUAUUAUAAUAGGGGUAAAUUUAGUCUUUUUUAUGCAUGUAUAUUUUUUGAGAAAUCCACUUCUCCACAAACAUUAAGCUGGUGCAAAAAUGCUUUGUCCUAGAAUAAAGUUGGAAAUGUCUCUUUGUAAAAUAUAAUUUGAUAUAGAAUGUAAAACUCUAUAGCAUUUAUGAUAGUUUCAUUUAAAUUACCAUGUCCAAUAUUGUUGUAUAUUUAUGUGUCUAUACCGAAGAUCAAUUUGUUGUAUUUAAAGUUUGGUCUGUUACAUAUUGUUAAGGAGCAAGUUGAAUGUUGAUAUGUCUUUCUCUUCAUGUUGCUAUUCUGCCUUUGUGAUUAAUUUAAAUUCAUACAAUGAAAGAUAUAUAUAUUUGCUACAUUUUUCAAAUCAGAAUAAAUGUUGAUAAUGAC
rnacentral:sRNA from 1 species